UUUUUUGAAACAGAACCCCCUAUAGGACCACUUUCUAUUUCAUAUGCGCGACCAGGCCACGAAGAUGCACGAAAUGCAGUAACAAGGGAUCAUUUCUGCCCAAUUGUGCCACUGCAUAUUGCUGCACAGAAUCGAAGAAAGAGAAAACGUUUAAACCAUUUCAAAGCUCUAACGCGACAAGCUUCGUCAGCUGGUAUAUCACUUUAUUCAUUACAAGAUACAUUUGGAUCAUCAAAAGAGUACACAAAUUUCCUCAAAGGUAUGGAAUCCUGUACCUAUACAUUGAAUAAAUAUAACUACAACAUCUAAUCUUUAACACACGAUAUUAUACUAGAUUUAAUCUAAAAUAACUUUCUUAUUGUUUUUGUUCAUACAUUUAGAGAAAUAUAAAGACCGAUCUUAUUAUGGGGGGCCAGAUUAUGUCUGUGAUAAAUAUGGUGCUAUCUUUUGGUAUCAAGAACGUAUAGAAAAAAACAGUUCAUAUGCCCAGAAAAGAAUUGUAUAUAAUUUAUGUUGUCAUGGUGGGAAAGUCUCAUUACCAUGCUUCAGACCUAGACCAGAACCAUUUAAUGAACUUA